rnacentral:rRNA from 1 species
UACAGAGGUGGCAAGCGUUGUUCGGAAUUACUGGGCGUAAGGGGCGCGUAGGCGGUUCGUUAAGUCCUGUGUGAAAUCCCCCGGCUCAACUGGGGAACUGCACAGGAAACUAGCGGGCUUGAGUUCGGGAGAGGGAAGCGGAAUUCCGGGUGUAGCGGUGAAAUGCGUAGAUAUCCGGAGGAACACCGGUGGCGAAGGCGGCUUCCUGGACCGACACUGACGCUGAGGCGCGAAAGCUAGGGGAGCAAACGGG